GUGUGUAAUGGGUUCGUUGCAAAUGAUGUUGUGGAUAGGUAAGCGAAAAAAGAGAAGUAGGAGUUAAGGGGGGAUGCAGGUUUGGUUCCUAAUCACUAAAAGAUUACAGAAGUCCCCCUUUAGAUAUGCUACCAUGGUGGAUCCGUGAUUGACAUUUACUUCCCUGGUGCUACUCGGACGGCUACAUAUAUCCGAAUCCAACUAUCGCACGUAUACUGUCAGUCUGUCGCAGUGAUAUUUCUAUGGGCUCAAUAUUAGUUGCAAAAUUACACAUGAUAGUGUCGAUGGUUCUUGUCGUUUGCUAGACGUGUACUGAAGUACUAGUAUCAGACAAUGGCAGACCAAACAACAACAACAACAACAAAGCCUUUAGUCCCAAACAAGUUGGGGUAGGCUAGAGGUGAAACCUAUAAGAUCUCGCAACCAACUCAUGGCUCUGGUAUAUGGAUAGCAAGUUUCCACGCACCCCUGUCCAUAGCUAGCUCUUUGGUGAUACUCCAAUCCUUCAGGUCGCUCUUAACGGACUCCUCCCAUGUCAAAUUCGGUCUACCCCGUCCUCUCUUGACAUUCUCCGCACGCUUUAGCCGUCCGCUAUGCACUGGAGCUUCUGGAGGCCUGCGCUGAAUAUGCCCAAACCAUCUCAGACGAUGUUGGACAAGCUUCUCCUCAAUCGGCGCUACCCCAACUCUAUCUCGUAUAUCAUCAUUCCGGACUCGAUCCUUCCUCGUGUAUGAGACAAUGGCAGACCACUCAAUGGAAUAAUUACUUUUGUUCAACCUUGUGCUGUAUCCAGAAGUCAAUCUUCAUGAACAUAAUAGCAAUUUGUAGUCUUACACUUUACUGAACUAUCAGUGCAGAAUUGCAAAUUGGACCUGCAAAAGUAGUAUAAAACAUCAUGUAUAAGAGGAUGAAGAGCUGAAAGAUGCCUAACCUUGUUAUCUGUUAUAGUGUUGACCAUUAUGUUUUCUUGCACAAAAAUAGACAGACCAAUCAAGCCUGGAAUUUUAGCUUCCCAUUUUCUUAAUAUAAUCAUGGUGUACUUUUGUACAGCCUACUUCUCAACUGUGAAGCUCAAGCUAUGUAUGAGAUUGCUAAUGCUUGUUUUUUACCCUCGAAUGUUUCCUAGUGGAUCGUAUGUUCUUUUUCUCAAACGCAAGUGGUAGUUUUUUACGUCGUUGCUCUUGAGCUUAUUCAUGAUUUGUGAUCCAGAUAAAUCGUAGUAAUAUUUUUCCCUUUUAUAUGACAUUGCUAGUCCAAGCUAACAGUGGCUAGUUUAUGUUUGUGUGGAAUUUCUCCUCCUGUAACCAGAGUUUUGGUUUGUUGGAAUACAAACUAUAAAAUGGAAAUACGUGUGACUGGGAUAUGAAUACGAAGGCAUUUAAUCUUUAUCGCUGUAGCCUUUGGAAACACGCACUAAACAUUUAACUAUUGUUGGACUAGCCACGUGUCUUGUUAGCUCAUCUGAUAUUUUUGAUGCUUAAAGUGGAUAACUGAAUUUAUGAUAGCUCAUCUGAUGCUCAAUAACCUCCAUCUGGAUACUUCCUCUGUUUCUCUGAAACAGGAAUGCCACGUGAAGGGAUACGAGGAAGCUUUUGGAUGGCUUGUGACUAAGGGCGCCAUCAAUGAAGAGCACAGGGCUGCACAUUUCGUCAGUAGUACUUGUAACCGUGUUCAUUUUUACUAGUAUAGUGAAUCAAUAAGGCAUCAGUAGUGCCACUCUGUUAGCGACCAAUUAAUUCCUCUGUUCCGUCGUCUAGAAGACAUGUAUGCCGAGUACCUCUCUUGCCUGGUCUGUUUGUGUUGGUGUCUUGUGUGCUUCAACUGCUUGCUUUUGUAUGUUGAACAGCAGAUUUAGUACUGCUUCAGCUGUUAGUAGUGGUGUUUCUGGAGAAGUGUCUUACUGUUCAGCACUGCAGAUUCGGUUUCAGUUAGGGAUGUGUAGCUAGCUCUGGUGUAACAGUAAAAGAAGGACCUAAGCUUCGUUGAAGCCAGUAAUUUUUGUCGUGGUUUUAGUUCUAAAUUUAUUGUACUGGUAGAGAGGAUGAACCAAAAGCAAUUGCCAGUAGGCUCAGGUGAAUGCGUCACGUAAGAGUGGCAAUUGUGCAGAAGUUUCUUAAUACAAACUAGAAGAACACCUGUGCGUUGCAACGGGGCCACAUUAAGUUUAAAAGUUCAAUAUUAAUAUUCUCAUAUAUAUCAAGUGACAUUGGCGACCUUUUUUACCAUCAAUUCCUCACACACACUCUCUGCCUCCCUCUUCCUCACUCUCUCCCCCUCUCCCUCUCUCUCUCUAACACACACACAUAUCCAUCUUAUUGGGUACGGGACCAUAAUUCAUCUAUUUCACACACACACGCUAGUACAUAACAAUAUGGAUUAUGUGUAUUAUAUUUGCCACCACAACUGAGGGAAUUAAUUUCAUGUAAAUCGGCCAGCCACAGCUCCAAGAAUACGCGGAGGAGGUGGCCCGGGUCGGCGUCGGCGCCGUCCGGCACGGGCCACAGGCCCGCUUCCAAGCGCGUCUGCGCGUCGGCCACCCACGCCGUGUCUUUCAAGUGCCACUUCCACCGCACCAACUCCCAGGGUCACGGCCAUGGCCAGGGCCAGGGAAGCCGCCCUUCUUGGCCACCUUCACCGGCCACGGCCAACGCGGUGCCGCGGCACCCGGCCUCGCCGUCUUCGUCCUCUAGCACCGUCGCGACCCAGUGACGCAGCCCAAGCAUCGGCCUCGAGAAUCAAGAACGCUCGACAACGUAGAGGGAAGGAAAGGUCAUAUACAUGUCAUAAGAAAGAGAGUUUAUUUACUGCUCCCUCGAUGUAUUGUUUCCUUUGUUUGGAGAUUGAUUACCAUCCGUGAGUUAAGGUAAGGUUUACAUAAUUGAGCGAUUUUUUGAAAAUCAAUUAUUUGUUUUCUAAUUAAUGUAAUUGAGUGAUUUAAGGUAAGGUUAAUUAAUUUAGAUUUGAUCUUUAGAGAUUGUUCGUGAUUGAUUCUACAUUACUAAAUAACUUGCGUCAGUAUGGAAAGUUCUGAUCUGUUUAAAUUUCUUUCGUUGUGUGAGAGGGUGACGCGAAAAUAAACCGAUGAAGUGAGGGGAGGGGACGAAAAAAAAACCAGCGAAGGUGGGAGGAGGUACCAAAAAAAACCAUGGAAAGUGGGAGGAGACUACCAACUGCUUCAUUAGGAGUAGAAAUUAUUAGAGAUUAGAGAUUAUUUGUUUCCUGAAAAUCUAUUAUUUGUUUCUUAAAGCAAAUUGCAUUAAUGAGAGAGAUUUCGUAGAUUUGGCUAAGGUAGGAAAGAAUCUAUUAUUUGUUUGCUAAAGCAAAUUGCAUUAGUGGGAGAGAUCCGUUGAUUUGGCUAAGGUAGGAAAUAAUCUAUUAUUUGUUUGCUAAAGCAAAUUGCAUUAAUAGAAGAGAUCCGUUGAUUUGGCUAAGGUAGGAAAGAAUCUAUUAUUUGUUUCCUAAAGAAAAUUGCAUUAACGAGAGAGAUUUGUUGAUUUGGCUAAGGUAGGCGGUUUUUGCGGUUCGUGGCGGCUUAGUGUGAGGUGGAACGAGGUACCAAAAAAAACCAUGGAAGGUGGGAGGAGACUACCAACUGCUUCAUUAGGAGUAGAAAUUAUUAGAGAUUAGAGAUUAUUUGUUUCCUAAAAAUCUAUUAUUUGUUUUCUAAAGCAAAUUGCAUUAAUGAGAGAGAUUUCGUAGAUUUGGCUAAGGUAGGAAAGAAUCUAUUAUCUUUUUGCUAAAGCAAAUUGCAUUAAUGGGAGAGAUUCGUUGAUUUGGCUAAGGUAGGAAAGAUUUUAUUAUUUGUUUGCUAAAGCAAAUUGCAUUAAUAGAAGAGAUCCGUUGAUUUGGCUAAGGUAGGAAAGAAUUUAUUAUUUGUUUCCUAAAGAAAAUUGCAUUAAUGAGAGAGAUUUGUUGAUUUGGCUAAGGUAUGCGGUUUUUGCGGUUUGUGGCGGCUUAGUGUGAGGUGGGACGAGGUACCAAAAAAAACCAUGGGAGGUGGGACGAAAAAAAUCUGGGAGAUGGGAGUUGUCCCCGGUUAACCUACGAAAUUUCGUAGCUUUUUUUAGGACGAAAAAAAUCGUAAGAGAUGAGACUAAAAGAAACCUGAAAGCGAGACUACCAACUGCUUCCUUAAGAGUAGAGAUCCUAGAGAAACAUGCGCUGUAACCUGAGCCAGAAGAUCUAGGCCCACGGGCCGUGUGAUCCGUGGAUAGGCUGACACUAUUCACACGACCGAAAGCUGUUGUCGGGUGCUCGAUGCCCGUAUAGUCCACCACGUGCACGACGGCGGCGGCUCGUUGGUGCUCAUCCCCACAGUUGACCACCGACGCUGUUGUAGAGCUUGUCGGGCAUCAGCCCGCCAUCGUCGAACUGACUAUUGUGGAAUGUCACGCGGCCCAUAGGAUCUCAUCAGCCUGAACAGGCCGUAGGAUCGUGGAUGCAAGGGCAUGGGCGAAUCUCACGGCUACCCGCUCAUCGUCAUCGGCGCAACCAUUGAUCAUAUAGAACAGGAGAAGCGCUGUCCUCAACGAUCGACAUUGAUGCUUUUUUUUAAGUCAGACAUUGAUGCUAUGGAUGAUGACAAGAGACUGAAUUUUGAAGUGGUGAAGAAGAUGGUGGCCAAUCCGUGAAAAGAUAGAGCUGGUUCGAAACCUUAUUUUUUUUCGAAAAGAGGGGCUCCCCGGCCUCUGCAUCAGAACGAUGCAUAUGGCCAUCUUAUUAACCAAAUAACGGGCGCUUAUAGGCGCCGGUGCGCCGGCCCAAAUUUGGGCCGGUCAGCGCGUAGCCGCUCGAUCUGUUUAUGCCCAGCCGCUGGAUGCGGCAUCCUCUGGACGUACCGCUUCGUCCUCAUGCCUCCUCUCGUGCGUUGACCAACAGCCCGUGUCCAUGGCGGAUCGCGCUUGCCGCCGCCCGCGCCCUUGCCGCCGGUUGCCGCCCCUCGCCGGUCCCCGCCCUUGCCGCCGGUUGCCGCCCCUCGCCGCCGGUUGCCGCCCCUCGCCGCCGGUUGCCGCCCCUCGCCGUCGUCGUCUCCGGUGUUUCUCGCCGACUCUGGAGCCAUGCAUGGAUGAAGCAAAAAACAUCCCUAGUCGUAGCAAAACGCGAAGGCGGUUGCAACAAAAAAUGUCACUUCCAGCACAAUUAAAUGAUAGUUCCAGCAAAAAAAGCUCAGCAGCAGAAAACCAUGGCUCAAAGCCAACAGCAGUAGUAGCAAAUCUUUAUUUUAAUUCCAGCAAAACCAAAAACAGUGGAAGCAAAAAUGCAAAAAAAGGAGCCUUUGUGGAAGGAUGUUCUAGCAAAAUCAAAGACACCAGUGGUAGCAAAAAUUAAAACUGGUUGUAGCAAAUUAAAACACCAUUUGUAGCAAAGUAGCAAAAUUGGGCGUUCUUCCAGCAAAAAGCGAAUGCGGCAGUUGUAGCAAAAAUUGAAGCUGGUUCCAGCAAAUCAAAACACCAGUUGUAACAAAAUGCAAAGAAUUGGCGUCGGUGGUAGCAAACUAAAGUGCCGAUGGUAGCAAAAAUUAGUGCUGGUUCCAGCACCGCCAUGAGCCGGUUCCAGCAAUGGGCGUCGUUGAAGUUGAACCACCGGUGGACUCUCCUAUCCACGGCGCCGAAGGCUUCUCCCGUCCACAACACCGGUCGACGCCCCGUCGUAGCACCGGUGUUGAAGCUUCGCGGCAGUUGUCGUUGGACAGUCGUCGCAGCCCCGCCUGCUUGUGGAAGCGCUGGCGGCUUGAGGUGGAAGGAGGGGGAGAGGUGGGGAGCCCCAAUGGUGAGGGAGGCGGAGGAAGGAGAGGGAGAGGUGGGCAGCACCGAUGGGGAGGGGAGCUGGAAGAAGGAGAAGGAGUGGUGGGUAGCAGCGGUGGGGAAUUAUGGCCAAGAACGCUCUAGAUCGAAGGGAAGAAGAUAAGGGAAAGGGGCAGAGCGGUGCGGGGCCCCACGAGACGCGGGUGCGACCGGCGCAAUUUUGAGCCGGUGCGCCGGCUGUAAACACUUACCAUAACAAAAAGUGUCAACAAGGUUUCACAGUCUCCAGCUAAAAAAGAAAAGCUAAAUGCAGCUCACACAGAGCGAUGGACGGCUAGAUACACAAACUAGCCCGAAAAAGAUGUCACAACCGGCUGGCUAACAAUAGAUAGGGAAACUAAUUGCCUAUCCUAUUACAUGACCGCCAUCCAAACCGGUUGAAGAUAUCCCGAGCUACCAUCUCCUAACGGAUAGAUCCAGUAACCAAAUGCUCCCUGGCCUCCAUCGGAGUGAGUAGCGACCACGAACGGAUCAGUGUCGUAGCUCGGAAAAUAACCUGCAAAAAAUGAAUCCGUGAUAUUUUGUUAAAAACCAAAUCAUUUCUGCAAUUCCAGAUAGUCCAUAACAAAGCGCAAACUCCAACCCAAAUAUGUCUUCCUAAUUCAGGCUCAACCCCACUAAGCCAUGUCCCAAAUAAAGCAUUGACUGACGUCGGCGGAGUAAUAUUAAAAGCAAUAUGGACCGUCCGCCAAAGAACUUUGGCCAACGGGCAAUCAAAGAAUAAAUGCUUAAUCGUCUCACCCCGAUCACAGAAACUACACCUAGUAGGUCCUGUCCAAUUGCGUUUAAUCAAGUUGUCCUUUGUUAAAAUAACUUGUUUAUGGACAAACCACAUAAACACUUUAAUUUUUAAAGGCACUUUGAUAGUCCAAACACACUUGGAAGUUGAAAUAGCAGUCGAAUUAAUAACAUCAAUAUACAUUGAUUUAACUGUAAAUACUCCAGAACUAGUCAAUUUCCAGCGCAAUAUAUCGGGUUGGUGCGAAAGUUGAACCUCCAUCAGUCUCCUAACUAGAUGGAGCCAUUCUUCCCAGCGAUUGCCCGCUAGCGACCUUCGAAACUGAAUAUUAAGGGGGAAUGAUUGGAAUACCGUUGCAACAAACACAUCACGUCGUUGAGCAAUCCGAUAUAACGACGGAUAUUGAAUGGCUAAAGGUGAUUCGCCAAGCCAAGUAUCCUUCCAGAAACGUGUACUUGUACCGUUUCCAAUAACAAAUCUCGUCCUAUUGAACAUAGAUUGCUUGACUUUCAUUAGUCCUUUCCAGAAAGGCGAAUCAGUCGACCUGACUGCGACCUGGGGCAAUGUUUUAGUUUGGAGGUACUUGUUGCGGACGAUCUGCGCCCACAUGGCCUCAGUCCCGGCAGACAGCUUCCACAACCACUUACUAAGAAGACAUCUGUUCUUAACUUCAAGAUUUUCAAUACCAAGACCCCCUUGAUCUUUCGGUCUACAGAUAAUGUCCCAUUUAGCAAGCCGGUAUUUUCUUUUAAGCUCAUCAUCCUGCCAAAAGAAACGCGACCGAUAGAAGUCCAGUCGUUUCCUAACGCCAACUGGGACCUCAAAGAAAGAUAAGAGAAACAUAGGCAUACUCGUGAGCACCGAAUUAAUCAAAAUCAAACGGCCUUCGUAUGACAUGAGCUUACCCUUCCAACAGCUCAGUUUUUUCUCAAAUCGAUCCUCGAUGCACUUCCAUUCUCUGUUUGUUAGCCUACGAUGAUGAAUCGGAAUGCCAAGAUAAGAGAAGGGUAAGCUCCCCAACUCGCACCCAAACAAUUGCCUAUAAGACUCCUGAUCGUCUUUGGCUCUACCAAAGCAGAACAAUUCGCUCUUAUGGAAGUUAAUCUUUAACCCGGUCAAUUGUUCAAACAGGCAUAACACCAGCUUCAUAUUUCUCGCCUUGGCCAAAUCAUGCUCCAUAAAGAUGAUUGUAUCAUCGGUGUACUGAAGGAUGGAAACACGUCCUUCCACAAGAUGAGGUACCAACCCACCCACUUGACCAUUCUCCUUAGCCCUUCCUAACAAAAUUGCUAACAUAUCCACCACAAUGUUAAACAGGAUAGGGGACAUCGGAUCUCCUUGUCUUAGGCCUUUAUGUGUCUGGAAAUAAUGACCUAUGUCGUCAUUCACUUUAAUUCCCACACUCCCUUUUUGCGUAAAUGAUCCGACCUGUCGGCGCCAGGCUUCAUCAAAACCUUUCAUACGCAAUGUCUGUUGGAGGAAUGGCCACUUAACUUUAUCAUACGCUUUUUCGAAAUCCACCUUAAAAAUUACUCCAUCUAAUUUUUUGGAAUGGAUUUCAUGGAGCGUUUCAUGAAGAACCACCACCCCUUCAAGGAUGUUCCUGUCCGGCAUGAAAGCAGUUUGGGAUUGCUGCACCACAGACUGCGCAAUCUGUGUGAUCCUAUUAGUCCCGACCUUGGUGAAGAUUUUGAAACUAACAUUGAGGAGGCAGAUCGGCCUGAACUGCUCAAUCCUCACAGCAUCCGUUUUCUUCGGGAGCAAAGUGAUAGUUCCAAAAUUCAAGUGAAAUAAUUGAAGUUGUCCAGAGAAUAAGUCAUAAAACAUAGGUAGUAAACCCCCCUUAAUAAUGUGCCAGCACUUUUUAUAGAACUCAGCCGGGAACCCAUCCGGACCGGGAGCCUUAUUAUUUUUCAUUUGUGCAAUAGCAUCGAACACCUCCUUUUCUGAGAACGGGGCAACCAGGAUAUCAUUAUCGGCAGCUGUCAAUUGAGGCACGUCCUCAACCCUGGACUCAUCGAGGGACACACAAUUGUCCUCCGGCGGUCCAAAUAACUGUCUAUAGUAUUCGGUAAUAUAGGUUUUGAGAUUAUCCUGACCUAAAAUAGUGCCCUCAUCCUGCUCGAGCUGAAAGAUCCGCUUCUUUCUGUACUUACCAUUAGCAAUGAGGUGAAAAAAUUGAGUAUUCGCGUCCCCUUGGACUACUUUGCGGACCUUGGCACGCAAAGCCCACUUCAAUUCUUCUUCGCGGAGAAGUUCUUUCAGCCUCUUCUCUGCCUCAUUUUUAACUUGGAGCUCGGCGGGCAGCAACAUCGCGGAUUCGGCUUUUACAACCAAGGCCUGUACAAGAGCGAGGAGCCUAUCCUUCUCAAUCUUAUACACCCCACUGAGGUGCUUAGCCCAACCUCGUAAGAAACUUCUCAAAUGCCUAAUUUUAUUCUGCCAGCGCUCGACCGCCGUCCUUCCUCCAACGCCCUUGGCCCACUCCCUGGCUAUGAUGUCUAAGAACCCCUCGCGUUCGAACCAGGCCAUCUCAAAAGAGAACGUGUUUUUGUUUCCCACAUGGUUCGGCUCCCCUGAGUCAACGGACAAUGGUGUGUGAUCGGAGAUUCCCCGCGUGAGAGCUUGCACCGUAACAAGAGGGAACUUCUGUUCCCACUCCACGCUGGUGAGAACCCGAUCAAGCUUUUCAUAUGUCGGGUUUGGCAUAGCAUUAGCCCAGGUAAACUUUCUACCAGAGAGCUCUAUCUCCCGUAGAUCUAAGCUUUCAAUAAUAGUAUUGAACAUAAACGACCACCUGCCGUCAAAAUUAUCAUUAUUUUUCUCCUCUCUCCUUCUAAUGAUAUUGAAAUCACCCCCGACCAAAAUCGGAAGCUGUUCGGACCCACAAAUCCGAACAAGAUCCGUGGACCCCAAGAACUACGAAGAAGACAAAUGGGUUGCCUUAUUAGCGACUGGCAGCAAAUAGUCUGUCGAUUUUAAGAGCUCUCGCGACUUUGGCAACAUAGAGGGGUAAAUUACAAAAGACCACCACAUAUUGGGCUAGGCAGAUAUCAAAGGAACAAUCAUCUUUGAUGAAAAUCACAAAAAACCACGAGAUUGGUGCACGGGUUGAACACACAACACUGUGUUUAGCAUUUUUUAGAGAAUUUGACCAUCGGGCCUACAUACGAGGGUGACAUGGCAUACCUAGGUGGAUAAGGGUCCCACCUGUCAGCCCCACAUAUUCUUUCCCUCUCUUCUUCCUCGUCAUCUCCUCUCUCCAUAGUUCGCUCUAUGCCAGCCAAAGAAUGAGUUGUCGGCUAGUUGACGUCCCUGUCCGACCUAUGCUAGCACCGACACCAGUGGACACGAUCCUUUAGAGGUGCGCAUGGCCCUUGAGCCAACGGACAGCGAGGGUCUCAUGAGGUGCGGUGGUGAUUUUUUUUUAGAGAACACUGUACCCUGGAAUCAAUAUAAGCCCUCCAUUUCGCCUAAUCCAAUGGUUGAUCUUAUCUGGUACUCCAACCUAACUACUACGGAGUACUACCAGAAAACACUUAGGAGUACCUUGAGCUUAGGGGUAAAAACGUAAUCAUUUAGGCAGUUAUGCCUGAUCUUUUUAUCCACAUUAAAUCUGAGUGCGUUACGGCUGAUGCACACCAUCUAGACUCAGUCAAUCGCUGUUGGUUAUUUCUGAACUCUUUAUGAAGCGGGAGAGACAUCGGCGAUCAGCCUGUUCUACGCGCACUGGAACCGUAGAAUCUGCGCCGACCAUGGUUGGUCGUCGGCGUGCUUGCUUGAGCGACGACUAUCGGCUGGGCAGAAGAUUGGCGUCAACCGUACCGUCGCCACCAGAAUAGGGCCGCGCUAAACGGUGAUGGACACAACAACAUGAGGUCGCAUGGCUGGGGCUCUGUCGCAUGGGCAUCUGCGAGAGUUGAAUUGUUGUAGCUUCCACGUAUAGACGCACACACUAGACUCUAACUAAAUUUAAUUGGACCGCGAAGACAAUUUCUGAACACAUUGACUAGAGAACUGAUGAGUAGCGCAAACGAAUUCACUAUUUUCCUCUGUUCUUCGCUGCAGAUUGUGAAUUUCUGUUUUAAUUUCCCAUGUACAUGUUAAUAUCCACUCAUCAAUUUUGUCUACGGAGCAAAUGAUGUAAUUAUUAAACUGCACACAAUUAUCUAGUAGUGGCAGACUGCUGGGUAUAUCGCAUAAUUGAGAUCCAGCAAUGGCAGGCAGAAGGGUAUAUCGCUUGAUUGUGAUCCAACAAUGGAGUGCACGAAGGGGAUUUGGCAGCUGCGGGGUCGCCAUAGGUUUGGGAUUAGGGAGGACGAUGCAGACCAGAUGCAAGCACGCGUGCAAGUGGCACCGGCCCCUGUGGCCAUGGUGGCGCAAAAGAACAAACAGGUGAUCACGAACGAUACCCUAGAGUUUCGCUUCUGGGAGCCGAGAUUUAUGAUGAGAUUGGGAUUUUUUUCGAGAUAGGUCAGCGAUUAGAUGAGGUCAAACAAAAAUGACUAAACUGCCUUUUUAAAUAAAGGGCUAGAUUUAAGUGGUACUCCUGCCUCUGCUUAGGGAGUACCAGGGUACCGUAAAAGUUCUCGCAAAUUAAUGGGAGUUUUGUAGUGCUAUAAUUUUUCUGGGGCACUUUGAGUGAUAUAUAUGAUUUUUUUAGGGGAAGCACACUGGCAUUACUGCUCUAUGGAAAGAUGUAAAGGAAUUACAUUAUGGUCAUGUGGAUUUAUAAACCAAACAUGACGCCUUGUGAUAACGGCAGAGUUCAAAAUUAGAGAGGCGCCCUUCAUGAACAAAGAGGCAAGAAUCGAAAGCUAGAGCCCUCUAUUUAAUCUCGUGAAUGAUGGUCGCAUUGUUCCCUGCAGAAACCUUGGUCAGAUCAGUAAUCACCGUCUUGCAAUCUGAGACGAGCUUCACUUUGGAAAGUUUCAGGUCUGCAGCAAGCGAUAGACCUUCUCGGCAUACCAGUGUCUCAAGUAUUUUAGGAUCAUUUAGACCUUCGAUCAUCACUGUCGAGGAACCAAUAUAAUCACCAGUCUCACUCCGAGCAACCGCGCUAAACGAUCCUCUCAUACCAUAUCUAGAUACAACUCCAUCCACAUUGAUCUUGAAAGAUCCUGGCUCAGGGAGGAUCCAUCUAGGGGUGGCAGUAAUAGCAAUUGGGUGUACCUGAACCUAGGCUUUAGGUGUCUUUUGUAUCAUCUGUAAUUCCUCAAUUAACCUUUUGAUGAACAAGUGCGUCCCUAGAGGGCUUUGGUGUUCUCCUUCAUGUAGGAGCUUCCUUCGUGCAGACCAGAUAGCCCAAAGGGUAACAGCAAGUUGUGUGAGCCGUGCACACGAUAAUGAUUUGAACAUGGAGAACAACCGGUUUCUUUCUAUUGGCUCGGCCAUCGCUAGAAUAUGAUGCAGCAAGUCGUCUUCGGUUAGCGACCAAACACACCUGGUAUACGUGCACUGAAUGAGGAAAUGCAACCAAGAGUCUUACGCCCCGCCAAUUUGACAAGUGUUGAUAGGCUGUUGGAAUUGACUGAUGCUCCAGAUGCAAGAGGAAGACCUUCAACUUUGACGGGAGUCCACCCGCGAAAGUUUAGUCCACGAUUUCUGUUCUCUAACUGGAUCAGACAAGCCCCCGUGCCCUUUGAGCCAUGCUUCCGUCUGUAUUUUUUGUCGUAACAAGCAUACAAAUAAGCUGAUUUGACGGAGAAAACACCUCUCUUUUCACGGCUCCAUGCCCAGAAUCCCUCUUGAUGUACAGUACUCAAAGGUAUAUUUAGGAUUGUUUCUGCUUUGAUUGGCAGAAAAGUUUGAGGAAUCUUGGUUUUAUUCCUUGAUGAUGUUGUUUCAUCUAUAAGCUCGGAAACAAAGUGUUGGCUUUCGUGUGCAAGCGCAUAGAAGAAUUCCUUGCUGGAAGCCAAAUUUGUUCCUAUAUACCAAUAGUUUUCCCAUCACCUCCCCUUUUGAUUAGGCCUUGUGACAAUACAUCUCUACCCUUGAUAAUGGAACGCCAUAUCUGGGAUGGAUCACUGGCAAGCUGUGCAUGCAGAAUAUCUUUAGUUGGGUAGUACCUUGAAAAUCUUGGCACUCAAAGAGUCCAGGUGUUGUAGAAGCCGCCAAGCCUAUCUUGCAAGGAGGGAGGGAGGGAGGGAGAUAGAUAGAUAGAUAGAGAGAGAGAUUAAAAAGUUCUAGUAUAUCUCUAAUUCCAAGACCCGAAAGGUGUUUAGGUCUGUCAUCACUAGUAAAAAACAGGGCUUUGGUCACGGGGCAAUAUUCACAUUAGUCUCGGUUCAGUCACGAACCGGGAGCAUUGGUCCCGGUUCGUGCGGCUAAGGCAUUAGUCCCAGUUUGAGCGAACCGAGACUAAAGGGUGCGAUGCCCUUUAGUCCCGGUUUGUGUCUCAAACCAGGACUAAAGGUCCCAUUUUCGAACUCUACCCCCAGUGGAUCGCCUUUUUUGUUUGAAAAAAUCAAAAAAAAAUGAUAAAAACUUCAAAAAAUAAAAUCCUUCGAGAGGUAGUCAUAUUACUACAUCUACUAGUUAGAAAAAUUUAAAAACUUAAAUUUGGACAUGUUUUGCAAAAAAUAUAGGGAAAAUGUAAAACGGCUAUAACUUUUGCAUACGAUGUCGGAAAAAAAACGUAUAAUAUAUCAAAAUGUUCAGAACGAAAAUCCGCUUCCGAUUUUGACGGCCUACGGCCUGUUUGCAAAUUUUUAGAAUCCUCAAAUUCUAAAAGGAAAAAAAGUUAUGCUCAAAUUUCAGUUUUUUUGUAUUUUCGUUAAAUCUAGUCAAACUAUGGUCAAACUACUUAUUCAAGAAGUAUUAGUGUUAUUAAAUAAUUAUUCAAGAAUAUUAGUGUUACUAAAUAAUUAUUUCAGUUUUUUUGAAUUUUUGUCAAAUCUGGUCAAAUUGUGGUCUAACAAUGGUCAAACUAUGGUCAAACUAUUUAUUCAAGAAAUAUUAGUGUUACUAAAUAAUUAUUUCGGUUUUUUUUUAAUUUUGGUCAAAUCUGGUCAAACUAUGGUCAAACUAUUUAUUCAAGAAAUAUUAGUGUUACUAAAUAAUUAUUGUUUUGUACAAUAAUAGUUUCAAACUCAAACAGUGAAAUGUGUGACUUCAUGCUCAAGCUAAACUCCCGAGGGCUAAUAGGAUUGGCAUCUUACUAUUGUUAGGAAAACAACAAGUGCAGACUUGGAAACGAAGGACAAUAGAACCCGAAAGUUAAGCGUGCUCGGGCUGGAGUAGUGAGAGGGAUGGGUGACCGGUCGGGAAGUUAGAUGAUUUGGAAUGAUGAGGGGUGAUUAGAGAUUAGAGGUUAAAUUGAGCAGUGAUGAGGGGUGGGUGAUUAGAGAUUAAAUUAUAAAAUAAUUCAGAAAUUUAAAAAUCAAGAAAAAAAUUCAAAUUUUUUUUACCUUUAGUCCCGGUUGAUGUGACAAAAAGCCCUUACCAACCGGGACAGAAGACCCUUUUUCUACUAGUGCAUCAUGUCCCAAGAUACCCAUGAAGUGUUCGUUUCAUCAUUUUGUUGCCCCAAUAGAAUUUCCAUAAAAGAGAAUUGGUGUCAAGGCAUAGUCCCCUAGGAAGUUUAAAUCAACCCAUGGAAUAUACUAGGAUGGGCCGAUCCACCUAUAUAAUAAGGACUUCUUUACCUCCAGCUAGCAAGAUUUUCUCCAUUCAUCCACAAACUAUAUUCGAAACCCUCUCUUUUAGAAACUUGACAACACCAUUUUUUUGAUCUUCCCACAUCGGAGGGCAUACCUUGAUAUUUCUCUAAAAAAGUUACAUUUGCUACAUUGACAAUACCUUUAACCUCCUCUUGCAAAAUUGACGGGCAUCCUUUACUAAAGAAAAUAUAUCAUUUAGAAUGAUUUACCCUUUGUCCAGCGGCCCAGCCGUAAGUAUCCAGCAAAGAAGAUACCUCUCUCGCCCCUUCUACUCCCGAAGGGCCAUUUCUCUGGGAUCCUUUCCCUCUGGAAGGGGGAAUUCAAAGCCAUUGGCAUCACCAAUACUCCGUUCAUCAUGGGGAUGAUCAUGAAGACCAUCAUCAUCAACAACACCAUCAUCACCGUCAUCCAUCUCCAACCCUAGUUUUCAAUCUAUGGACUAUUACCUUAGAUCCUUUGCUGAAAGCACUUUUUGGUGUUAAUUGAUAGCUAUAGUUGAUGCUUAGAAGUUUUAUCGGUGAAAGUUUUAUAUGUUUAGAUUGUUAAGCAUGGCAAAGUGAAUUGGAGAGAGGCGUGGUAGGAGUGAUUAACAAAAAACUACCAGUUUAGGGGUUUGCGUCCCACAGAACUACCACUUUUUUAAAAGUGACCGAAAACUACCAAAAAAAUGUAAAAACGUGACUAAAAACUACCAGGUUGACUGAAUGGUGGUUUUGACCGUUUUAACCACGAUUCUGACGUGAGUGGCCCACGUGCCAGGCUGGCAGCCCGAGUGAUUGACAACGGCGCGCACGCGGGGCCGUUAGAGCCGCUCGUCGGUCGCACCUGGUCGGGACCAGGUCAUAACCUGGCCGACCGGGCCGCUCGUCCCCACCAGCUCUCUCACUCUCCCCCGAGCUCCUAGCCCUAGCUGUCGGCAGCCAUGGCGGCUGUGGAUGCAAACUCCAGCGGCGAUUCAGGCAUACCUCCUGGCGGCAACGCGGCGCAGCAGCCUUCUCAGUCCGAAUCUAAUCCUUUCGCUGGCGGCGCGCAGCAGAGGUUGGAUUGGUCGGCGCCGGCGCGACCACCGUCGACGACAAGAAGCAGAGCUCAAGGUUAGAUUAGUUAUGGUCAUCUUGGAAAUUGUUAGUAUUGUGCAUACUUUGUUGUGUAAGAAUCUGAAAAAAGCAGUUUGACAGAAACUCAAUAUUGUGCCUACUUAGGUUCAGUAAUCAUGUAUUCAAUUAAUAAAGGUAUUUCAUUUUAUAAUUUUCAGAAUUGAUGACCCAUAGUGGUCAAUUUGGUUCCAUUUCAAUGCCAGAGAAUCUGUGGUUUGAAAUUUAUACCAGUCAGACAUAUCAUAUUUGAGAAUGCUUUCUCUUAUUGGGAGUGAGGGCUUUGUGGCUGAUGAUUAUAUGUACUAUGUAUUUGAUGAGGAGAAAGGAUUAGAAGGUUUAGAUAAAAUAUGUUGUGAAGAUGAUGUGCAGCAGAUGUUGGCACACUCUCAUAAUGAAAAGUUUCUGAACAUAAGAGUAGUGGGAGCUCUUGAGGAAUGUAAUGCAAAUGAGAAUAGAGAUAAUUAUUUUGCUGAACAUUGCAUUAACACUCAACAAAGUUGCACUAAGGUGGUGGAUAUAAGCAUGGACAGAAAGGAAGAGCUGAAGAAAAGCAUGGUGCAGAGAGAGGCUGACCUUAACCAUUUUGAAGGUGAUACUGAUGUGUCUGAAUUUGUUUUUGAUGAUGAAGCUACAAAUUCAGGUUCAGAUGGGAACAAUGUGGAUUUUCAGUCAGAGUAUUCCUCUGAAGAUGAAGCUGCAAAACAAGAUACAGCAGUGGUACAGAAACUAAAGGUAGUGAGAAAACCUGGUCCAACUAGUAGAUCCCACCAUGAGAUUGAGAAAACGGAGAAAGUAGAUUGGUUCCCUGAAGCAGAUGAAAAAUGUUUCCCUGGUGACUAUGGCAUCAGUGAUGAAGAAGAUGAGCCUGAAUGAUCCUAUAAACUACCAAGUGGUAGGAAGAGAAGGAAUAAGAAGUUGAAAGACAGGAUAUGGUAUGAUCACAAACUUCAAGGACUAGUAGAACAGUUUUGUAAGGGCUUGUGCUUCACCGCUGUGUAUGAGUUCAGAGAUGCACUUAGGGAUUUUCACAUUAGGACUUUGAGAAAUUUUCAAUACCACAGAAAUGCCCCAGAUAGUAUUAUUGUUUGGUGCUCAAAGAGAGCCACCCAGGGAUGUGAUUUUUAUAUAUGUGCCUCUAAGUUAGCUCAUGAAAAAACAUUCUGCAUCAAGAAGUGUGAUAUGUUGCACACUUGUGGAGCAUGUGCAGAGUCCACAAAGGUUACUACUAAGUGGAUGUCAAGGUCAGUGGAGGCAGCAUUGAGAGAAGACAUUAGAUCUCAUGUGGAUGCAUUAAUUAAGAAGACCAAGAGUAAGUUUUCAGUGGAUGUAUCAAGAAGUGUGGCAUAUAGGGCAAGGAGGAAGGCUGUUGAUGUAGUUCAAGGUGACCACAAGCAGCAGUACUUGAGGCUCAGGGAUUAUCUUCAAGCAGUUCUUGACGCAAACCCAGGUAGCAGGUGUAUAGUAACAACAUUUGAAGAUCCAGAGAACCCAUCACCUACUCCUAGAUUCAAGUAUAUGUUCUAUUGUUUAGCAGCUUCAAAUGAAGGUUUCCUUAAUGGUUGCAGACCAUUUAUAGGUCUUGAUGGAUGCUUCAUCAAGUUAAUCACUGGACAACAAAUUCUUGCAGCCACAGGAAGGGAUGGAAACAACAAUAUUUAUCCUAUAGCUUUUGGUGUGGUUGACAAGGAAGAUGGUGAAAGUUGGAAUUGGUUUUUAACUCAAUUGAGAUGUUGCAUUGGCAGUGGCAACAAAUUUGGAACAUACACUAUCAUGUCUGACAGGCAAAAGGUUGGGAAGAAUUUCAUUGAGCAAUUUAUGUUAUUACUUUUUUCAAUUGUAUUAAUAAUUUGUGAAUGUGCAGGGCUUGCUUAAGGCAAUAAAUGAGGUAUUCCCUGAUUCACCUCAAAGGUAUUGCCUUAGGCACAUAUAUGCAAAUUUUCAAUCUGCUGGAUUUAGAGGCCAGGAACUAAAAAAGUGUAUUGACAAGGCUAGCUACUCCUACACUAAACAUGGGCAUGAACUAGGCAUGGCAGAGCUGAAAGCACAGUUUGAGGAUGCUUGGAAAUGGCUCAAAAAAAUUGAGGUCUCUACUUGGGCUAGGUUUGCUAUGGAUCAUACUUGCAAAACAGAUUUAGUUGUGAACAAUCUAAGUGAAGUCUUCAACAAGAUGAUACUGGAUGUUAGGGCCAAACCAGUAAGGAGAAUGUUUGAAGGGAUUAGGACCAAUCAAAUGAUCAAGAGGCAACAAAUUAGGGAGAAGUUACAGAUUAGCAGGUGGACAAUCACACCAACCUACUCAGAGAUUUUAGAAGAGAACAAGCAGUAUGCCAAGUAUUGUCAGGCUGACAGAGCAGGUCCAACAAUUUGGCAAGUUACUAGCAAAGAAAAACAAUAUUGUGUGGACAUGGAAGGGUAUACAUGUGACUGCAAGAGAUGGAACAUGACUGGUGUACCUUGCAGUCAUGGCAUAUCUGUACUGACAAAGCAAAAGCUGCAUACUGAGGACUAUGUCAAUGACUUUUUCAAGAAGCCACUUUAUUUGGAGACAUACAAAGAAAUUAUAUACCCUGUUCCUGGUCCAGAUUUCUGGCCUCACACAAACACUCCAGACAUUGAACCUCCUGUGUUCAAAGAAAAGGCAGGCAGAAAACAGACUGCAAUGAGGAAAGGAGAGUUUGAAGUUCCUGCCCCAAGAGACACCAGUAGGAUGGGAACAAUUACCUAUGAAAAUUGUGGGUUGGAAGGACACAAGUAUACAAGUUGCAAUAAGACUCUUAGGCCUAAACUGCAAAUGCGGAAAAACAAACACCAGGUAAUUAUCAAGCAUCAGAGCAAUGUUUCCUUUUACAUAGUCUAAUCUAAGUUAAGUUGGACCUUUAAUGUAGGAAAACAGGGCAGUCUAUGCACCUGCUCCAUCUGCUCCAAUACAAACUCCAAGAGCACCAGCCCCUAGUGCAAGAGCACCAGCCCCUAGUGCAAGAGCACCAGCUGCUGCUGCAUCAGCACCAGCUCCUGCUGCAAAAGGGGUAGGCCUACAGGUGGAGGGAGAGGCAAGGAAUUCAGUGCACCAAGAUAUGUUGCUGCAACUUCAGAGGUUUUGGCUGGUAACAAAAGGAAGAGGUUUGCAAGCAGCAGAUUGAGGGGUUAUUACUAUGCCAGUGGUAACUGACACUAUAAAAAGGUAGAACUUCUCUCUUAGAACCUGUUUGAAUUAGUUUAGAACCUGUUUCUCUUUGUUUUGAACCUGUCUGUACUUUUCUGCAUGAGUAUGUCUGAAUUUGGGUGUGUAGGGGAACGUAGCAGAAAUUCAAAAUUUUCCUACGUGUCACCAAGAUCUAUCUAUGGAGAGACUAGCAACGAGGGGAAGGAGAGUGCAUCUACAUACCCUUGUAGAUCGCUAAGCGGAAGCGUUCAAGUGAACGGGGUUGAUGGAGUCGUACUCGUCGUGAUUCAGAUCACGAUGAUCCUAGUGCCGAACGGACGGCACCUCCGCGUUCAACACACGUACAGCUCGACGAUGUCUCCCACGCCUUGAUCCAGCAAGGAGAGAGGGAGAGGUUGAGGAAGACUCCAUCCAGCAGCAGCACAACGGCGUGGUGGUGAUGGAGGAGCGUGGCAAUCCUGCAGGGCUUCGCCAAGCACCUACGGGAGAGGAGGAGGUGUCACGGGAGGGAGGGAGGCGCCAAGGGCUCAGGUAUGGAUGCCCUCCCUCUCCUCCACUAUAUAUAGGGGCAGGGGAGAGGGGGAGGCGCAGCCUUGCCCCUUCCUCCAAGGAAGGGGUGCGGCUAAGAGGGGGGGAGGAGUCCAUCCUCCCCAAGGCACCUCGGAGGUGCCUUCCCCCUUUAGGACUCUCCCCUUUUCCUCCACUCUUGGCGCAUGGGCCUCUAGGGGCUGGUGCCCUUGGCCCAUGUAGGCCAAGGCGCACCCCCUACAGCCCAUGUGGCCCCCGGGGCAGGUGGCCCCACCCGGUGGGCCCCCCGGGACCCUUCCGGUGGUCCCGGUACAAUACCGAUGACCCCUAAACUUGUCCCGAUGGCCGAAACAGGACUUCCUAUAUAUAAAUAUUUACCUCCGGACCAUUCCGGAACUCCUCGUGACGUCCGGGAUCUCAUCCGGGACUCCGAACAACAUUCGGUAACCACAUACAAACUUCCUUUAUAACCCUAGCGUCAUCGAACCUUAAGUGUGUAGACCCUACGGGUUCGGGAGACAUGUAGUCAUGACCGAGAUGUUCUCCGGUCAAUAACCAACAGCGGGAUCUGGAUACCCAUGUUGGCUCCCACAUGUUCCACGAUGAUCUCAUCGGAUGAACCACGAUGUCAAGGACUCAAUCAAUCCCGUAUACAAUUCCCUUUGUCUAGCGGUAUGGUACUUGCCCAAGAUUCGAUCGUCGGUAUACCGAUACCUUGUUCAAUCUCGUUACCGGCAAGUCUCUUUACUCGUUCCGUAACACAUCAUCCCGUGAUCAACCCCUUGGUCACAUUGUGCACAUUAUGAUGAUGUCCUACCGAGUGGGCCCAGAGAUACCUCUCCGUUUACACGGAGUGACAAAAUCCCAAUCUCGAUUCGUGCCAACCCAACAGACACUUUCAGAGAUACCCGUAGUGUACCUUUAUAGCCACCCAGUUACGUUGUGACAUUUGGCACACCCAAAGAACUCCUACAGUAUCCGGGAGUUGCACAAUCUCAUGGUCUAAGGAAAUGAUACUUGACAUUAGAAAAGCUUUAGCAUACGAACUACAUGAUCUUGUGCUAGGCUUAGGAUUGGGUCUUGUCCAUCACAUCAUUCUCCUAAUGAUGUGAUCCCGUUAUCAACGACAUCCAAUGUCCAUGGUCAGGAAACCGUAACCAUCUAUUGAUUAACGAGCUAGUCAACUAGAGGCUUACUAGGGACAUGGUGUUGUCUAUGUAUCCACACAUGUAUCUGAGUUUCCUAUCAAUACAAUUCUAGCAUGGAUAAUAAACGAUUAUCAUGAACAAGGAAAUAUAAUAAUAAUCAAUUUAUUAUUGCCUCUUUGGCAUAUUUCCAACAGUCUCCCACUUGCACUAGAGUCAAUAAUCUAGUUCACAUCGAUAUGUGAUUAACACUCAAGGUCACAUCCCCAUGUGACUAACACCCAAAGAGUUUACUAGAGUCAAUAAUCUAGUUCACAUUUACCAUGUGAUUAACACUCGAUGAGUUCUGGGUUUGAUCAUGUUAUGCUUGUGAGAGAGGUUAUAGUCAACGGGUCUGAACCUUUCAGAUCCGUGUGUGCUUUACAAAUCUCUAUGUCAUCUCCUAGAUGCAGCUACCACGUUCUAUUUGGAGCUAUUCCAAAUAACUGUUCUACUUGGAGCUAUUCUAAAUUGUUGCUCCAUUAUACGUAUCCGGUAUCUCUACUCAGAGCUAUCCGGAUAGGUGUUAAGCUUGCAUCGACGUAACCCUUUACGACGAACUCUUUUACCACCUCCAUAAUUGAGAAAAUUCCUUAGUCCACUAGUUACUAAGGAUAACUUUGACCGCUGUCCUGUGAUCCAUUCUUGGAUCAUUCUUGUACCCCUUGACUGACUCAUGGUAAAGCACACUUCAGGUGCGGUACACAGCAUAGCAUACUGUAGAGCCUAUGUCUUAAGCAUAGGGGACGACCUUCGUUCCUUUCUCUCUAUUCUGCCAUGGUCGAGCUUUAAGUCUUAACUUCAUACCUUACAACUCAGGCAAGAACUCCUUCUUUGACUGAUCCAUCUUGAACACCUUCAAGAUCACGUCAAGGCAUGUGCUCAUUUGAAAGUACUAUUAAGCGUUUUGAUCUAUCCUUAUAGAUCUUGAUGCUCAAUGUUCAAGUAGCUUAAUCCAGGUUUUCCAUUGAAAACACUUUCCAAAUAACCCUAUAUGCUUUCCAGAAAUUCUACGUCAUUUCUGAUCAUUAAUAUGUCAACAACAUAUACUCAUCAGAAAUUCUAUAGUGCUCCCACUCACUUCUUUGGAAAUACAAGUUUCUCAUAAACUUUGUAUACACCCAAACUCUUUGAUCAUCAUCAAAGCAUACAUUCCAACUCCGAGAUGCUCACUCCAGUCCUCAGAAAGAUUGCUGGAGCUUUGCAUACUUAUUAGCAUAUUUCAGGAUAGACAAAACCUUCCGGUUGUAUCACAUACAACCUUUCCUCAAGAAUCGUCGAGGAAACAAUGUUUUGACAUCCUAUCUGCAAGAUUUCAUAAAUAAUGCAGUAAUUGCUAAUAUAAUUCCAACAGACUCUUAGCAUCGCUACGAGUGAGAAAGUCUCAUCGUAGUCAACUCCUUGAACUUGUCGAAAAACAUCUUAACGACAAGUCGAGCUUUCUCAAUGGUGACACUUACCAUCAUUGUCUGUCUUCCUUUCAAAAUCCAUAUGUACCUAACAGCCUUACGACCAUCAAGUAGUUCUUCCAAAGUCUACACUUUGUUUUCAUACAUGGAUCCUCUCUCGGGUUUUAUGACCUUGAGCCAUUUAUCGGAAUCCGGGCCCACCAUCGCUUCUCCAUAGCUCGUAGGUUCGUUGUUGUCUAGCAACAUGACUUCCAAGACAGGAUUACGUACCACUCUGAAGUAGUACGCAUCCUUGUCAUCCCACGAGGUUUGGUAGUGACUCGAUCCGAAGUUUCAUGAUCACUAUCAUAAGCUUCCACUUCAGUUGGUGUACGUGCCACAGGAACAACUUCCUGUGCCCUGCUACACACUUGUUGAAGUGACGGUUCAAUAACCUCAUCAAGUCUCCACCAUCCUCCCACUCAACUUUUCGAGAGAAACCUUUCCUCGAAAAAGGACCCGAUUCAAGAAACAAUCCCUAUUGCUUUCGGAUCUGAAUUAGGAGGUAUACUCAACUAUUUUUGGGUGUCCUAUUAAGAUGCAUUUUAUCUGCUUUGGGUUCGAGCUUAUCAACCUGAAACCUUUUCACAUAAGCGUCGCAGCCCCAAACUUUCAAGAAACGGCAACUUAGGUUUCUCCAAACCAUAGUUCAUACGGUGUCGUCUCAACGAAAUUAUGUGGUGCCCUAUUUAAAGUGAAUGUGGUUGUCUCUAAUGCCUAACCCAUGAACGAUAGUGGUAACUCGAUAAGAGACAUCAUGGUAUGCACCAUAUCCAAUAGGGUGCAACUAUGACGUUUGGACACACCAUCACACUAUGGUGUUCCAGGCUGUAUCAGUUGUGAAACAAUUUCCACAAUGUCUUAAUUCUGUGCCAAACUCGUGAUUCAGAUAUUCAUCUCUAUGAUCAUAUCAUAGAUCUUUUAUCCUCUUGUCACGACGAUCUUUCAACUUCACACUGAAAUUACUUGAACCUUUCAAUAAUUCAGACUCGUGAUUCAUCAAGUAAAUAUACUCAACAUCUACUCGAAUCAUCUGUGAAGUAAGAACAUAACGAUAUUCACUGCAUGCCUCAGCACUCAUUGGACUGCACACAUCAAAAUGUGUUACUUCCAACAAGUUGCUAUCUUGUUCCAUCUUACUGAAAACGAGGUUUUUCAGUCAUCUUGCCCAUGUGGUAUGAUUUGCAUGUCCCAAGUGAUUCAAAAUCAAGUGAGUCAAAACGGUCCAUUUGCAUGGAGUUUCUUCAUGCAUAUACACCAAUAGACAUGGUUCGCAUGUCUCAAACUUUUCAAAAACGAGUGAGCCCAAAGAUCCAUCAAUAUGGAGCUUCUUCAUGCGUUUUAUACCGAUAUGACUUACGUGGCAGUGCCACAAGUAGGUGGUACUAUCAUUACUAUCUUUUGGCAUGAACAUGUGUAUCACUACGAUCGAGAUUUAAUAAACCAUUCAUUUUAGGUGUAAGACCAUUGAAGGUAUUAUUCAAAUAAACAGAGUAACCAUUAUUCUCCUUAAAUGAAUAACCGUAUUGCGAUAGACGUAAUCCAAUCAUAUCUAUGCUCAACGCAAACACCAAAUAACAAUUAUUUAGGUUUAACACCAAUAUCUUUGGUAGAGGGAGCGUGCGAUGUUUGAUCAUAUCAAGCUUGGAAAAACUUCCAACACAUAUCGUCAGCUCACCUUUAGCUAGUCUCUGUUUAUUCCGUAGCUUUUAUUUUGAGUUACUAACACUUAGCAACCGAACCGGUAUCUAAUACCCUGGUGCUACUAGGAGUACUAGUAAAGUACACACUAACAUAAUGUAUAUCCAAUAUACUUCUAUCGACCUUGCCAGCCUGCUUAUCUACCAAGUAUCUAGGGUAAUUCUGCUCUAGUGGUUGUUCCCCUUAUUACAGAAGCACUUAGUCUCGGGUUUGGGUUUUUACCUUGGGUUUCUUCACUAGAGCAGCAGCUGAUUUGCCGUUUCAUGAAGUAUCCCUUCUUGCCCUUGCCCUUCUUGAAACUAGUGGUUUCACCAACCAUCAACGAUUGAUGCUCCUUCUUGAUUUCUACUUUCGCGGUGUCAAACAUCGCGAAUACCUCAAGGAUCAUCAUAUCUAUCCCUGAUAUGUUAUAGUUCAUCACGAAGCUCUAAUAGCUUGGUGGCAAUGACUUUGGAGAACCAUCACUGUCUUAUCUGGAAGAUCAACUCCCACUCGAUUCAAAUGAUUGUUGUACUCAGACAAUCUGAGCACAAGCUCAACAAUUGAGCUUUUCUCCUUAGUUUGCAGGUUAAGAAAGUCAUCGGAGGUCUUAUACCUCUUGACAUGGGCACGAGCCUGAAAUCCCAAUUUCAGCCCUCAAAACAUCUCAUAUGUUUCGCGAUGUUUCAAAAACGUCUUUGGUGCCUCAACUCUAAACCGUUUAACUGAACUAUCACGUAGUUAUCAAAACGUGUAUGUCAGGUGUUCGCAACAACCACAGACAACGUUCGAGGUUCAGCACACUGAGCAGUGCAUUAAGGACAUAAGCCUUCCAUGAAGCAAUGAGGACAAUCCUCAGUUUACGGACCUAGUCCGCAUAAUUGCUACUAUCAACUUUCAACUAAUUUUUCUCUAGGAACAAAUCUAAACAGUAGAACUAUAGCGUGAGCUACGACAUAAUUUGCAAAAUCCUUUUGGCUAUGUUCAGGAUAAUUAAGUUCAUCUUAUGAACUCCCACUCAGAUAGACAUCCCUCUAGUCAUCUAAGUGAUUACAUGAUCCGAGUCAAACUAGGCCGUGUCCGAUCAUCACGUGAGACGGACUAGUCAUCAUCGGUGAACAUCUUCAUGUUGAUCGUAUCUUCUAUACGACUCAUGUUCGACCUUUCGGUCUCCGUGUUCCGAGGCCAUGUCUGUACAUGCUAGGCUCGUCAAGUUAACCCUAAGUGUUUCGCGUGUGUAAAUCUGUCUUACACCCGUUGUAUGUGAACGUUAGAAUCUAACACCCGAUCAUCACGUGGUGCUUCGAAACACGAACUGUCGCAACGGUGCACAGUUAGGGGAGAACACUUCUUGAAAUUGUUGUAAGGGAUCAUCUUAUUUACUACCGUCGUUCUAAGCAAAUAAGAUGUAUAAACAUUAUAAACAUCACAUGCAAUCAAAUAGUGACAUGAUAUGGCCAUCGUCACUUUGCUCCUUUUGAUCUCACAUCUUCGGGGCUCCAUGAUCAUCAUCGUCACCGGCAUGACACCAUGAUCUCCAUCAUCAUGAUCUCCAUCAUCGUGUCUUCAUGAAGUUGCCUCGCCAACUAUUACUUCUACUACUAUGGCUAACGGUUAGCAAUAAAGUAAAGUAAUUACAUGACGUUUAAGUUGACACGCAGGUCACAAAUAAAUAAAGACAACUCCUAUGGCUCCUGCCGGUUGUCAUACUCAUCGACAUGCAAGUCGUGAUUCCUAUUACAAGAACAUGAUCAAUCUCAUACAUCACAUAUAUCAUUCAUCACAUCCUUUUUGGCCAUAUCACAUCACAUAGCAUACCCUGCAAAAACAAGUUAGACGUCCUCUAAUUGUUGUUUGCAUGUUUUACGUGGCUGCUAUGGGUUUCUAGCAAGAACGUUUCUUACCUACGCAUGAACCACAACGUGAUAUGCCAAUUGCUAUUUACCCUUCAUAAGGACCCUUUUCAUCGAAUCCGAUCCGACUAAAGUGGGAGAGACAGACACCCGCCAGCCACCUUAUGCAACUAGUGCAUGUUUGUCGGUGGAACCGGUCUCACGUAAGCGUACGUGUAAGGUUGGUCCGGGCCGCUUCAUCCCACGAUGCCGCCGAAUCAAGAUAAGACUAGUAACGACAAGCAUAUUGAACAAUAUUGACGCCCACAACUACUUUGUGUUCUACUCGUGCAAAGAAUCUACGCAAUAGACCUAGCUCAUGAUGCCACUGUAGGGGAACGUAGCAGAAAUUCAAAAUUUUCCUACGUGUCACCAAGAUCUAUCUAUGGAGAGACUAGCAACGAGGGGAAGGAGAGUGCAUCUACAUACCCUUGUAGAUCGCUAAGCGGAAGCAUUCAAGUGAACGGGGUUGAUGGAGUCGUACUCGUCGUGAUUCAGAUCACCGAUGAUCCUAGUGCCGAACGGACGGCACCUCCGCGUUCAACACACGUACAGCUCGACGAUGUCUCCCACGCCUUGAUCCAGCAAGGAGAGAGGGAGAGGUUGAGGAAGACUCCAUCCAGCAGCAGCACAACGGCGUGGUGGUGAUGGAGGAGCGUGGCAAUCCUGCAGGGCUUCGCCAAGCACCUACGGGAGAGGAGGAGGUGUCACGGGAAGGAGGGAGGCGCCAAGGGCUCAGGUAUGGAUGCCCUCCCUCCCCUACACUAUAUAUAGGGGCAGGGGAGAGGGGGGAGGCGCAGCCUUGCCCCUUCCUCCAAGGAAGGGGUGCGGCUAAGAGGGGGGGAGGAGUCCAUCCUCCCCAAGGCACCUCGGAGGUGCCUUCCCCCUUUAGGACUCUCCCCUUUUCCUCCACUCUUGGCGCAUGGGCCUCUAGGGGCUGGUGCCCUUGGCCCAUGUAGGCCAAGGCGCACCCCCUACAGCCCAUGUGGCCCCCGGGGUAGGUGGCCCCACCCGGUGGGCCCCCCGGGACCCUUCCGGUGGUCCCGGUACAAUAUCGAUGACCCCGAAACUUGUCCCGAUGGCCGAAACAGGACUUCCUAUAUAUAAAUCUUUACCUCCAGACCAUUCCGGAACUCCUCGUGACGUCUGGGAUCUCAUCCGGGACUCCGAACAACAUUCGGUAACCACAUACAAACUUCCUUUAUAACCCUAGCGUCAUCGAACCUUAAGUGUGUAGACCCUACGGGUUCGGGAGACAUGUAGUCAUGACCGAGAUGUUCUCUGGUCAAUAACCAACAGCGGGAUCUGGAUACCCAUGUUGGCUCCCACAUGUUCCACGAUGAUCUCAUCGGAUGAACCACAAUGUCAAGGACUCAAUCAAUCCCGUAUACAAUUCCCUUUGUCUAGCGGUAUGGUACUUGCCCGAGAUUCGAUCGUCGGUAUACCGAUACCUUGUUCAAUCUCGUUACCGGCAAGUCUCUUUACUCGUUCCGUAACACAUCAUCCCGUGAUCAACCCCUUGGUCACAUUGUGCACAUUAUGAUGAUGUCCUACCGAGUGGGCCCAGAGAUACCUCUCCAUUUACACGGAGUGACAAAAUCCCAAUCUCGAUUCGUGCCAACCCAACAGACACUUUCAGAGAUACCCGUAGUGUACCUUUAUAGCCACCCAGUUACGUUGUGACGUUUGGCACACCCAAAGCACUCCUACGGUAUCCGGGAGUUGCACAAUCUCAUGGUCUAAGGAAAUGAUACUUGACAUUAGAAAAGCUUUAGCAUACGAACUACAUGAUCUUGUGCUAGGCUUAGGAUUGGGUCUUGUCCAUCACAUCAUUCUCCUAAUGAUGUGAUCCCGUUAUCAACGACAUCCAAUGUCCAUGGUCAGGAAACCAUAACCAUCUAUUGAUUAACGAGCUAGUCAACUAGAGGCUUACUAGGGACAUGGUGUUGUCUAUGUAUCCACACAUGUAUCUGAGUUUCCUAUCAAUACAAUUCUAGCAUGGAUAAUAAACGAUUAUCAUGAACAAGGAAAUAUAAUAAUAAUCAAUUUAUUAUUGCCUCUAGGGCAUAUUUCCAACAGGGUGAACCUGACCGAACCUUACUGUACUUGUAUCAAAUUUGUGGUGUACCGUGGGCCUGAUGGUGGGCUUCCGUGUUGGACCUAACUAACCCACCAAGCCUGCCACACUGUGUACAUAAGAGAGGCUGGAUCCCUGCGCCUCAUUCCCCUUGACUAAAACCUAGCCGCCACUGAUGGAUCAACAGUUAGGAGAGGUAGUUGUUGAACAAGACGAGGUUGCUAGGGCUGAAAGGAGGGCUGAAAGGAGGGCCAACCGUCGAGCACAGGCACAGGAGCAACGCCAGAGGAUUGCUUCCAUGAUUAUGGUGGAACGCAACCAGAAUGACGUGAAGCAGUUCAAGGAGGUGUUCCCAGAAGGAACCAACAUCAGAGAUGAACUAAUCAUCUGGUGGGCCAGAGACAGGGCUUCUUUCCAUCGAUUCCAAGCAACAAGGAAGAGAUGAACUCAGAUCCUGGCUGCAGCAGAAGGAAGACAGGAUUGGGAUUAGUUCUACGCGGUAGUUUUUGACUAAAUUGUGGUGUUUAUGAAUCUUCUUGUCUUGUGCUCAAUAUUGCCCUGAAUCUUGUUCUUAGUCUUGCUUUGAAUCUUGUCUUCUUCUGAACUUUCUGAACUUUAUGAUUGCAGUGAAGGAUGCAGUUCAGGAGAUGCACCAACCGUGAUGAAGACGAUGCAAUGUGGCUGCCUGAAUCUAUGUUAAAGAGAGUACUCAUGUUAAAGACUAUGCUUAUUUUCUGAACUAUCUAUGUUUGGGUUGUUGGAAAAUCUAUGAUAAAGACUAUGCUUAUUUUCUAAGAAAUGUAUCCAUGGCACAGUAUUUUUAAGUCUGAACUUAUGCCUGAAUCCAUCUAUCUGCAUUUAUCUGAAUGUUUCUAUACUUGGGCUUUGCUGAAAUGUGAUUUUUUGGUCACUCUAAUUUUUGAAAUACUCCACUGUUUGACCAUCAACUACUCCACUGUUUGAGCACACAAGUUCCAAGUUGCUGGGUUUCAACAAAGACUUUAAUUGCAACACAACUACCACCAUUUCUCAUCACUUAAUCUCAAAAACCUCACUUUCACACUCCACCGCACUUCCUCCACUCCAACAUUUAAGUAGCCCAACAGCUCACUCUAUCUCUGCUCACUCGACCUCUCUCUCGAAAACCUCACUCCACCUAUAUCCAUGGCUGGUUCUUCCUCUACGCCAGACCCAUGGCUGAACCCCUUCCCCACCGGCAAGGGCUGGGUUGCCAUGCUUUUUGGGUUGGCUCGCGGCGACGAAGACCUCUUCCUCGACUACAUGAAGAUUGCCAUGAGAUACAACAGUGCACAAGGGCUCGUGGAUGCAUCAGAAGAGGUGAGGAAGAAGGCGACGACUGAGGAGAAGCAGCGCAUGGACCAGUGCUAUGCAACCCCAGGUAAGGGUAUCAUGCCCAUCGACAUGUUGCUGUGGGCAAUGAAGGAGGCAGACUCCGGCGAUGCUGGGCAGAGGGAACGGUGGGCAGCCCACCGCUAUAUCCCUCCAGCACAAGCUGCAACUCCAACUACUAUGGGCAACGCCAACGAGGACCUGCAGAUCAUCGCCCCACCAGCACUAUUGGCUCGCCGACGUCCUCCUCCCAUCAUCGUCAUCGAUGGAGACGAAGAGGAGGUGCCAGAGCUGCCACCUACCACUCAAGUCAAGCAAGAGGUGCGACGGUCAGGUCGCAUAGCAGGGCAGGGGCCUAACAAUCUGAAACAGUAAGUUUUAGAUUCAGUUAUUGCCAGAUCUAUGUGAGAUUCAGUUAUGUCAGUUUAGUUCUGUCAGUUUAUCAGGGUGUUUGCAAUCUCAGUGAGAUUCAGUUCUGUCAGUUUAAGUGUCUUUGAACAAUUUCAGUGUCCAUGUCCUAUCUAUGUAAGACUAAAUGCUAUCUAUGGGAUACUAGAUGUCCUCCAAACUUCUCUGAAUUUGUCUGAACCUGUGAUGAAGCAAUUUAUGAAGUAAACAGAUCUCAGCAAGAACUUAUGAUACAACACACACAAAUAAACUACAUCAGACUUAGAUAAUUUAGUUCUUAACUUAACUUAGCACUAGUUCUCAGCAUCAGGAUAAUAUUUGGGCAGUACAGAUCAGGGCAAACACCACCCCCACACCAACCAAAAUGAUCUGAACCCAUUACAGUUCUUAGGUAGUUCAAAGGUAGUUCAUAAGUAGAUCAGGGCAUAUUUGCACCAGAUUGAUCAUUCCUAGGCCAAUUAUAUAUAUAUAGGCCUCAUAUAUACUUACCAUCCAGAGAGCUGCCACUUCACUCCUCCAUCACAACUUCCUUUAUCUUGUCCAGCUUUUCCUUGCACCCAUGACCAACCUUAAGGAGCUCAACAAUGACAUUCUCCAGCUUCUUCUUCUCUUCUUUAAGGAGAUCUUUCUCCACCUCUAGCUCCUUCAUGGCCUUCCUUGUGUUUUGGAUUAUAUCAGCUUGACUCUGAAGGAUGCACCUUUGUUCUUUCUUGAGCUUAAGCUUCCCCAUUUGAAGCUCAAUCUUUGCCUGCUCCUCAAGUUGCUUCUUCAUCUCCUUCAGUUCAUUGAUUGCCUGGCUUGUGCAAUCCAUGUCAUGAGAUUUGAUUCCAUCCUGAUAAUCAAACAACUUGGACACAUCAUCCACCAGCUGGCUAUACUGAUUGGCCAGAGAAGCAAGCUCCUUCUGCAGUUUUGCCACCUCUAUCCCAUGAGCCUCAUUAUCCUGGGCUCUACCAAGGUUCUGCUCAUGAUACAUAUUCCAGAGCUUGCUUAAGCACCUUUGCAGAAUUACAGGCCAGGGGGCAUCUACCCACUCCAGAACACCACAGUUCACACCAUCCUGAAAAUCAAUUUAAUUUUACAGUGAACAAGCAAAUUCAGAAUAACAAAUCAUAAACAAUAAUGAUAUAAGCUACACUAGCUAGUUAGUUCUAUACUACAAGUACAAUAUUCAGACAUGUUUCCAGUGCUCUUUACUACAAGUAAAGUAUUCAGACAUACCAAUGUUUUCAGACUUAAGGAAAAUUCAGAAUAACAGCAACUAAACACUUUGUUUCCACUACAUAGCAGAAAUUCAAACUAAUCAAAUCCACACCAACUUGGUCCAUUACCUCAGUAGCACAUCCUAUGAAUCUCCUGCCAGUGUCAGUGCCUUCAAAUGCCAUAAACUUGCCCGCCCUCUGCCUGUGCAGGAUGCACCUUCUGUCAGAUUCAGUCACAAGCCCACAGAAACUAGGGUCUAUCACAGUGUCAGGAGUUUGCUGCAAAAGCAAAAGCAUAUCUAUAUCAAGAACAACUCACAUAUAUCAACUUAAAUGGAAAAAUCUCAAAUAUCUUCAAACCCUAACCCUAGAACAGAACAGACAGGAGAGGGAGAGGAUAGACUGAGAUGACUUACAAAGUACUCCAUCUGCAUGCUGCUGAACUCGCUCAUGUACUCGUCAUCGUCGUCUGACGUCUCGUUGCUGUUCGGCCACGACGGCAUGCCGGAGCGCGAGAAGAAGAAACAGAAGCAGAGGAGAGCAGAGAGGAGUUGAGUGAGCUCGGGGGAGAGUGAGAGAGCUGGUGGGGACGAGCGGCCCGGUCGGCCAGGUUAUGACCUGGUCCCGACCAUGUGCGACCGACGACCGGCUCUAACGGCCCCGCGCGCGCGCCGUUAGCCGUUAGGCGGGCCGCCAGCCUGGCACGUGGGCCACUCACGUCAGAAUCGCGGUUAAAACGGUCAAAACCACCAUUCAGUCAACCUGGUAGUUUUUAGUCACGUUUUUACAUUUUUUUUGGUAGUUUUCGGCCACUUUUAAAAAAGUGGUAGUUCUGUGGGACGCAAACCCCUAAAAUGGUAGUUUUUUGUCAAUCACUCACGUGGUAGUGAUCCACCAUGGACACCGGGAGUGGGGGGUGACCAUUGCAACAUUUUAAAACCAAGUUGCCCGACGGGCAAGAAGGGAGAGGAGGAGCUCAUGCAGGUGCUCCACUGCUUUGGAGAAAAAGCAUUGAACAAGGCACGUGCAAAGAGGGAAAGGAAGAAUAAACGAGUCAGCAUGCUUGCGUGGCGAUAUUUUUGCCAACUCAGCCCCUAAUGUGUAGGUCGCACUAGUUAGAUUCGUUGUUAAUAAACCAAGUGAAACUCUAAAUUUGGGGCGAACCAACCUCUGGUUGAGAUGGUUAGGUGGACCCUGGUAUCCCCAACCCACCAGGGUUCAAAUCCUGGUGCUCGCAUUUAUCUUGGAUUUAUUUCAGAAAUUCUGGCGAUAUGCUUUUAGUGGGAGGAGACGUUAAACUCUGAAUCAGGGCUGUGUUACACACCUGACCUAAUGUACUUUUUUUGCGAUUUUCUAAAAAAGUCUAGAGUUAAACAAUUGCAAGAUGAAAAAGUUCCAAGUUGUAGUAUAGUCAUACCUGCUCACAUCCAAAACACAUAUGUAUGCACUAUUACUGAAAGCUAAUAAAAAGUUGGUAGAUUUCUUACCUUGCAUCGCUCAAAUGUAUUAAUUCAAAUAAGUUUUUUUCUUUUUUCUUGAAAUAAAAAUAUUUUUUUUGAAAAACACAGUACAAACACAGAUGCUCACAUACGCAUACAUACAAUCAUCCAUAUAAACACAUGUACACACAUCCUGCCCCUAUGAGCACGUCGGAGAUAUUGAACCGGCACAACAGGUUGAGAUUGACGAAGUCCCACUGGCGUCUCGUAAUUGAUAGGAGCAUCUCCUUCGACUGAACGAACAUAGCCGAAAAGUCUAAAAUAAUGACAGAAAAAAUGCGAACACCAGUGCUCACGUCUUGAACUUGAAGCCUAGUGGGUUGUUUCCAACACUAGGAAACUCAACCUAAAAUGUGAUCUGAAGGACCCCAAUUAACUUGAAAACACUCUACGUCCAUAUUUAGGACGGUUAGGGCGAUUUUAUGGCCAUAUGAGUUAUGCUCAGUUUGCAACAGAAAAAUGGAAGUGAAAAAGUAGGAGGUACAGAAGAAAGAUCUAUAUACGAAGCACACCCCAAAACUAAUACUAACUACACUUAUAAGAGAAAAAAGAUAACUAGGAGUUAUGGGUGGAUGCAGAUCUGUUUCUUAGUCCCUAUAAGAUUACAGAAAUCUCCCUCUACAUAUUCUACCAGGGUGGAUGCCAAUUGACUUUUACUUCCUUCACUACUUGGAUGGCUUCAUAUAUCCGAAUCCAACUAUGGCACAUAUAUUGUCACCCUUAAUCAGCGAAGCUAGUGAUAUUUCUACGGGCUCAAUAUUAGUUGCAAAAGUACACAUGAUAGUGUUGAUGGUUGUUGUCGUUUGCUAGAUGUAUACUGAAGUAUCAGACUAUGGCAGACCACUCUAUGGAAUAAUUACUCUUGUUAAACCGUGUGCUGGCACUAGAAGUCAUGCUUCCUAGACUUGGUCUUCCCUUUAUAGUCUCAUAAUAGCAAUUUGUGGUUGUGCUCAAAAGUUACUUGUUAUCACAGAUUACCGUACUAUGUGGUGCUGAAAAUUGCCUCUUUUUAUUGCAUGGAUCUCUCAUUCUGUUAUAUCACAGUUUUCUGAACUAGCAGUGCAAAAUUGCAAAUUAGACUUCCAAAAUUAUGAUACAUCAUGUAUAAGAGGAUUAAGAGCCGAAAGAUACCUAGACUUUUUAAUCUGUUAUCAUGUUGACCACUAUGUUUUCUUGUGCAGAAAUAGUCAGAAACCCAUAAUUCCUGGAAUCUCCUAUUUCUUAAAUAUAAUCAUUGUGUAAUUUUUUACAGCCUAUUUCUCAAAUUUGAACCUAAAGCUAUGUGUGAGAUUGCUAAUGCUUGUUCUUUUUUCCCGAUCGUAUGUUCUUUUUCUCAAACGCAAGUGGCAGAAUUUUUAUGUCGGUGCUCUUGAGUUUAUUCAUGAUUUUUUAUUCAGAUAUGUUGCGGUGAAAAUUUUCUUUUCAUAUGACAUCGCAAGUCCAAGCUAAAAGUGGCUACUUUAUGUUUGCGUGUCAUUUCUCCUUCUAUAUCAGAGUUUUGUGGUUGGAAUAUACCGACUAUACAACGGAAAUAUGUCCGACUGGGAUAUGAAGGCAUUGAACCUUUACUGCUGUGGCCUUUUGAAAUAAAUAUUAUAUUGCUUGACCAAAUUCAUCGCUUUGAUUUUCUGAGCGCACUAAAAAUUAAACUAUAGUCAGACUAGCCACUUGUCUUGUUAGCCCAUCUGAUAUUUUGAUGCUUAAACUGGCAAACCGAAUAUAUCAUGAUGCCUAAUUCCCUGUAUCUGGAUCCUUGCUCUGUUUUAUCUGAAACAGGAAUGCCACUUGAAGAACAAGGAUAUGGGGAAAGCUUUUGGAUGACUUGCGACUAGGGUGCCACCAACCAAGUGCACAGGGCUGCUUCAUUUCCUCAGUAGCAGUUCUAACUGUGUUCAUUUUAACUUGUAGUGGAUUAAUUAGGUUACCAUUUCACACUCCUGUCUUGUGGCAUCAGUAGUGCUAGUGUGUAUGGAGGUAACUCUCUCGCCUGGUCUGUUUGUGUUGUUGUCUUGUAGGAUUUGGAGAAGUGUCCUGCUUUGUAUGUUGAGUAGCCAUACUAUCUGAUCUAGUACUUGUAUUGCAGUCUUGUCCACUUUUUUCCCCCCAUGGGCAGUCUUGUCCACUGCUUGCAUUUGGACUAGUGUCUUAUUGUUGGCCAAUUUCAGAAUCGAUUUCAGUUAGAGAUGUGUGUGUAGCUAGCUCUGAUGUAACAGUAAAAGAAAGCUUCAUUGAAGCCACAAUAUGAUUACACUUCUAGUACAAAGUUGUAUUAAAGUUGGGACACUUCGUUAGGGACAGAAGGAGUAUAAGACUUUCUA
rnacentral:lncRNA from 1 species